GAUGAACGCUGGCGGCGUGCUUAACACAUGCAAGUCGAACGAAGCACUUUAUUUGAUUUCCUUCGGGACUGAUUAUUUUGUGACUGAGUGGCGGACGGGUGAGUAACGCGUGGGUAACCUGCCUUGUACAGGGGGAUAACAGUUGGAAACGGCUGCUAAUACCGCAUAAGCGCACGGCAUCGCAUGAUGCAGUGUGAAAAACUCCGGUGGUAUAAGAUGGACCCGCGUUGGAUUAGCUAGUUGGUGAGGUAACGGCCCACCAAGGCGACGAUCCAUAGCCGAGCUGGGAGGGUGACCGGCCACAUUGGGACUGAGACACGGCCCAAACUCCUACGGGAGGCAGCAGUGGGGAAUAUUGCACAAUGGGCGAAAGCCUGAUGCAGCGACGCCGCGUGAGCGAAGAAGUAUUUCGGUAUGUAAAGCUCUAUCAGCAGGGAAGAUAAUGACGGUACCUGACUAAGAAGCACCGGCUAAAUACGUG
rnacentral:rRNA from 1 species